AACAGAUCCAAGAGUAGGCUUUCUGAAGCACCUUCUGAGCAGCUGGACUGUCACUGUCUUAAAUGGAGUGGUUGGGUUAAAAAUAUGUGUCUGUGAUGUAACUCCCUGGCCCUGAGCUACCACUGGAAGCAGGUCUCUCUGGUUUGACCUGUUAAUACCACAAACUCUACUUUGCCAGAAAUGUGACUACUUGAUGAAUAAGUUGGUCCCGGCCUGCCAAUUUGAAGUGAACUCAUAUUUGGCCAUCUGCUGGAGCGCCAACGAUCAAGAGGAGACCAGAUGAGUUUUCAAAGCAGUCCUCAAACACCCAGGACACACCUCAUCCUUUGCCUCGUGCUUUCUGCAAUGUUGCUGCUUACAGUCAUCUUCCUGUUAACCCUUGCCAUAAUUACCCCUUCCUGAUCACCAUUCUUUCACCAUUCACAACCCACUCAGCUCUUUCUCCAAGGUGCCCAUCUCAUGGACAGUGGCUUUGUUCUCUGGCAAGUUCCCUUCUGAGUUAUGUCCAGAUGGCUAACAGUAGUUGCCCUCUCUCAUACCCCCUGCUUCAUGCCCCAAAGCCCAGCAUGUCAGGAAAAUCACAGCACACCCUACCUCUCCCAAAAUGAAGUUGCAAGACUCUCUACCUGAGCAGUCUCACUGAGUGAAGGUACUCAAGGUAUCUGAUUGUGAUGUAAUUAAAACUAGAUGGAAAGACCAGAAAUCCCUUAGUCCCAGUCAGAUAUAGUGAAAGAGCUUACUCAUGACUAUUUGGAUUGAUUGAGAAUGUGGAGGUAGGAAGAAAGAGAAAGAUAAAGAUUCUCAGGAUUGCACUGUCCCUGAAUACAGGAUGGAAUCAUCUAGACUUUUUUUUUUCUCCAAUUAAAUUUGCAUUUCAUUCUA